CAAAUACUCCCUCCGUUCCAAAUUACUCAUCGCAGAAAUGGAUGUAUCUAGAACUAAAAUACAUCUAGAUACAUCCAUACCUGCGACAAGUAAUUCGGAACGGAGGGAGUAUUAC
rnacentral:pre_miRNA from 1 species